rnacentral:rRNA from 1 species
CGUCUAUAUACGUAUAGCAUAUCAAUAAGCGGAGGAAAAGAAACUAACAAGGAUUCCCUUAGUAACGGCGAGUGAAGCGGGAAGAGCUCAAAUUUGAAAUCUUCAAGGUUCUACCUUGACGAAUUGUAGUUUAAAGAAGUGUUUUCUGUUAGAGGAGUAGCAAAAGUUCCUUGGAAUGGGACAUCAUAGAGGGUGAGAAUCCCGUAUUUGGUUACUUUUUCUAGCUUUGUGAUACACUUUCAAAGAGUCGGAUUGUUUGGGAAAUGCAGUCCAAAAUGGGUGGUAAAUUUCAUCUAAAGCUAAAUAUUGGCGAGAGACCGAUAGCGAACAAGUACCGUGAGGGAAAGAUGAAAAGAACUUUGAAAAGAGAGUUAAACAGUACGUGAAAUUGUCAAAAGGGAAGCGUUUGACACCAGUGUUGUUUUUCCGAAAAUCAAUUAAGAGUGGCUUGAUUUUGUGUUGUAUUGACCUUAUCAGGCUUUCUUCACUCUUUUUCGAGUCUUUCUUAAUGCACUUUUCGGUUAACAAGUCAACAUCAAUUUCUUUUGUUGUAAAAGGGUAUUUGGAAGGUGGCUUUCUUUUCGGAGAAAGUGUUUAUAGCCUUAUACCUCUACAAUCGGAGAGAUUGAGGUCUGCAGCGUAGAUCCUUCGGGGCUAGAUACACUUGUGCUAAGUUAUAGCUUUUCAUAGACAACUUGUUGACUAUGUUUAGUCAUGUAGCUUACCCGCUUGUGCUAUUUUACCUACGCUUAGGAUGUUGAGUCAUCACACAUCUCU